rnacentral:lncRNA from 1 species
AACUAUUUACUAAGGGCUUGAAGGCAACCAUCCGUGAUAUUGUAGUGAGACAAUGUCUGGUAAACUUUGGUGAUCUGGUGAUGUCCUGAGAGCAGUCAAAUGAUGGUGUGGGGGCGAGGUGAUUCCUGUCGGCAUCAGUAUGAUAUGGGUGGUCCUAGUAAGGGUUAUCCAAGAGGGGUAGCUUCAGUUCCAGAUCGUCU